UGUCUCCAGAGAUCUGGGCCGAGUGGUGACGUGCGCAACAUUUCUUACUACGCAACGGGAAGUUGUGAUUGUGCUGAAUGAUGUAAUUCGUACAUUCCCUCCCCGUACCUCCCUUUGAAUUAUAAAAGUGAAAACAAAUUUUGCUAAGCUAGUGUCGCUGAACCUCAGACCUUUCCAAACAAUAAGUAUUUUUCAGUCAUGAUAGAACGAUAAGAUUCCGAGAAACAUCCAGGUACCGAAAUGAGAGAUAAUUGAAAUCUAUAAUAAAUAUAAUGCACUAUGUUUUUUUGUUUUAGGCUACAAAUUUAGCAGCAACUAGAGAGAGAUCAGUAAUACUGAAAUUCUAAAUUAGCGUAUAUUCGAAGCUUAGUCUCUCUCCGAAAUCUGUUGAGAUACUGCUUGAUUUUCAGUGAAGAAUAUAGACACCCUUAGAGGCCCUAUAUACAAGUACUACGAAAAAUUUGGCAGAGUCUAUUACUUCCGAGGGCUCCGGUGACCGUUUACGGAAUUCUAACCUACUGCCAGCGAAUAUAAAUGUCUCCGACGCUAGUAUUAUAAAAACAUCCCCACGUUUCACAGUACCAUAAAUCUCUUGAUGUGCGAGGAACACUUAAUAACAGUAGCGUUUGUCUAUAGGAACAAAGUAGAUUUUCUGAAACAGAGAAUACAUUUAAGGAAGUACAGCAACUCCUUGUGGCAUGUUUUUUCGUCGGUAAAGCUGUAGGACGAAAACAGCAAAGAGUUGAUUUACAUUUUGUAUUAUCAUUCUUUUUUUUUCAUUCUGCAUAGUGAAAGAAAUUUUGAAAACAAAUUUGCAUACAGUCAAUGUAUGUAUUAAAAAAAAAAGUAUACACUCAAUGUAUGUCUUCGAAAAGCCUGACUACAAGGCAGCCCAUAUUAAACUGCAUCUGCAACGUGGUGACGUCUUCACAUUGCGAAACCAUGCAGUUACGCGAUGAAGUGCCGUGCGGAAAACCGUGUGCACCAAUAGCUUCAAUAUAAAUCCUCAGAUGGCGCCACGAACAUAUCUAAUUCGCGCAGGCGUUAUCCAAGAUGCUGUGGCCGAAGCGGGAAGAUACAAAGGAAUCGAAAUCGUCAGAUAAGCAGACAAACCAGAAGAGGACGACAUCUACAUGUUGCAAACCAUCAUCAAAAAGCGAAUGCUGCCAAUCCUGCAAACCUCCAUGCAAGUGUAGGAGGAUUGUAAUACGACCACUCAUGUUUUCAUAUUACACAGAUUUGAUGCAUUAAACCAAAAAUUAUGUUUCAUUAUCUGCUCUAUAAUUUUCUACGGAUAAUAUGAAACUUAAAGAAUAUAAAGAUUUAAUAAUU